GGAAUAGACAUGAAAAUCUCCUGUAAACAAAGCUGUUUUGCUGUGGGAAGUGCAGUAUGGGGAAAGUUCAGACACGUAUCAGACCUUCCCAGUUUGAGCUUUACUUCUAAUUACGGAUUAUCUUAGUUAGAAUUAACCAACGUGCAUGCUCAGCUUUGGGAGGCCUUGCCAAGGAAGGCUCCCAAAGCUCUUUGUGCUGAGCAGUUGUGAACUUGCUCCCUGAUGCCGCCUUCUGCCGUUGUCCCUGUUGCACAAGGUGGAGUUCCUGAGCAGAAACUGAGGUCGAAUGAAAGCAUCUGGAGAAUGGGUUUGUGCCAGUGCAUUAAUUCUCAGGAGGAGCCCAGGCAAGGAGCGACCCACUGCUGCAACCGUCCUGCUCAUGAGUGUGUGCGAGGCUCGGGACCAGCGCCGCAUCAUGAAGUGCUGCACACAGGAAACAGGAACACCAGCCCUGGGGCCAAAAGGUUGCAAACUCGGGGCUGCCUUCACGCCACGUGGAGAAUGGGAAUUGUUCUUUGGAAUCAGAGUUAAAAGCAUUGUAGGAAGUAGUAAAUGUCCUGUUGGAUUGUAUGCAGGAGAAGAGAUGCAAC